CCUACGGGGGGCAGCAGUGGGGAAUUUUGGACAAUGGGCGCAAGCCUGAUCCAGCCAUGCCGCGUGAGUGAAGAAGGCCUUCGGGUUGUAAAGCUCUUUCGGCGGGGAAGAAAUCGCACGGGUUAAUACCCUGUGUGGAUGACGGUACCCGAAUAAGAAGCACCGGCUAACUACGUGCCAGCAGCCGCGGUAAUA
rnacentral:rRNA from 1 species